AUCAAUGCCAAUUCUUGCGUUCCAGAAAACCCUAGAUAGCUCUAUAAAUAGGAGAUGAGAGCGGCUGCUUUCGUCUCCGAGGAGAGAAGCGAGAUCGGAGAGAUCGGUGAGAGCUUGACGCGAUGAGGGCCAAGUGGAAGAAGAAGCGUAUGAGGAGAUUAAAGAGGAAGCGCCGAAAGAUGAGGCAAAGAUCUAAAUAAGCUCGAACAUUUAGUUGAAUUCCUGGCAAGGAUGGAUCUUGAAGCUUUUCACAAGGAUGGUGGAAAGCUCUCUCCUUCUUCUGCCUCUUGUAGUUAUGCAUUUCAGUUCUACUGAUUUCUCAUAAACUAGUCUAAGUGCUCUGAUGUUAAGACUGAUAUGUUUGGAGUGAUUACCUGUUUUCUGCAUUUUAAUAUGUUGUUAUUGUUAUUAGCAUUUGGUACCAAAUUGAUGAUAUUUGGUGAUGGUUUGUUCUUGUU